CUCAUUUAUAUUCCAGGCAUGUUAAUCAUAUGCUUCCUACAGCCGCCGAUACAGUCACGGCCACUCUUUCGUUCCAGAGACAAAAUCAUGGAUUAGACAUACUAAUGCAGCAUAGCAUGCACUAUCCCACCUUGCACUUUCAUCCCAUACUUGUAGAACGCAUAACACAGCUAUUCACCUGGCUUUAAAGAAUCUCAUUGAAACAUGACAUAGCUCAACCUGUGUCAUAACAUUUCUCCUAGGUUUUGCUUUAUUUUUGCCACCUUAAACUAAAACUCUCUCACACACCAUUAAUUAUAUAUUUUACAGGCAUUCAACAACACAGGAUAACCUAUGGCCAAAACUACCAUAACUUCAUGCUAUCAUACCAGACAAGAAUAUACUCA